ensembl:lncRNA
AUGGAGAGGUCAAGGGGAGUUGGUGGCCGUCACCCUUCGUCAGGGCAGGGUGGCAUCAGUGCUCCCGUGCUGGGGUUCCUGGAGAGCCGGCUGGCACGGACAGACUCUUGUGAGGGCAAGUGGCUGAUCGUGCGUCGGAUGGGUCCAGCAAAGGAGAGAAAGCUUCGGUGCGCGCGCGCUCGCCAGGGAAAGGGUGACAGCGGGUGGGACCGAGAGGGAGAGAGAGAGAGAGGAGAGAACAAAGGAAGAGAGAGGGUUUCCGCAGGGGCGGUGAGUCCUGGCGGAAGUCCUGAGGCAGAGGAGGUGCCAGGGGUUUGGGUUUCCCGGUCGUGUCGGGGGUGUGGCGCAGGUUGCCCCAGUGGGCCUGAAUGUGCCUCCGUGGGGCACCUUGUUGCCGUGUUGGGGGGCGGGGAGCCGGCCUUGGGGAUCCAUCUUUCGGGCCCUGGGACGUGGGAGAAGAAUGCCGGGGCCUCUCUCUGUGCCCCUGGCACGCCUCUGUGCAGGCCGGGCCUGCACCCCCCCCGCCCGUCCCCCAGGCAGGGUCCGUGUGGCUGCAGACACCCAGAGAGAGGGGAGGCUGGGGAGGCUGGGGAGCCGUGGCAGCCGAUGCAGUGCGGGUCUCCAGGUGGAGGGGCCCUGGUCCCCUGGCGCCAGCGUGGCCCUUCCUCCUUGUGGAAACCCUUGUGGUGUGUGUGCUCUCUCGCCCUGACCCAGGAGAGCAGCAUGGCGACCCCUGAUCUUGUGGCGUGCCACCAAGUGAGGCCGAGGAGCUCCCGCAGACCAGUGGGCGUGCCGUCUUUUAGAGGGAUUUUUGGAGACCUGUCUUUGGUAUGUGGCUCUUAAUUUUUUGGAUAAAUCUCCCUUGGGACACUCAUCUUAUUUCCCUGAGCAAUACCCUCUUCCCCUGUCUUUGACCAUCCUAUGCCACUUCUGGUUGCCUGAGUGUGAACUUCCCGUCCUCUCCAUUGUCUUGUCUCAGCAGCGUUCUUUUUGGUACUGUGUUGGGCACAUUGGAUCUUUUUGUGUUUAUGCUUUUUUUUUGCAUUCUAAGGGCUGAACUCUUGCUUGUGUUGAUUCUGACGUCCUUUAAUUCAUUCCUUUUACACUGAUCAUAGAAUGCGAUAUUACUACCCUCUUCUCACCGAAAAUGAGUUCUGGCGGUGGUUCCCACUGGGCCCUUGUGUGUUGGGUCCAUUUGUAUGGGCUCCUUUGUUUCAUUUCCCACUCCAUGAUGUCUAUGGACUGCAGUCCUAUGAUAGGCGCCGGAAGAUUUUGGCAGUUGCCUGUCUCUGACCUCCUUGAGGGCAUUCCUCAGGUCAUGGUGCCUCUGAAGGUGCCCAGCCUAGCCAGUCUUUCUUAAGACAGCAUUGCGUGAUAGUCUGCCUGAAUAUGAUUGAGAUCCCGUUGGGCAUUUCUCCUGACUUUGAUUUUUUUUUUGCCAUACAGUGUGCUGAAUUUUGUUCCCUACAUCUUGUGAAGUCUAUGGUUGUAGUGUUCCAGAUUGAGUCCUGGGCUAGACCCAGCUCCCUUCUCAUGUUCCCUUUGGGACACCGGAUGCAGGCAGGGUAGUGUUCUUGUUGUUCUGAGGGGAGUGUCAUGAUUCACUUUGGAGAGUGUGCCAUAUGUUAGGCCCUUUUAUCACGGAGUCUCUCAUGGGUGGUGGGGAGCCUGGGGCACCCUCAGUGAUGUUCCCUAGAGACUCUAUAGAGGCAGAAGACAAUUGAAAACCUAGAGGCCAGGUGCAGCACAGGUCUCUAGGUGGUGGUGCUCCAGUCCCCUAUGCAAGCAUUUCCCUUCCACAAUCAAGCCCACUUUUGUACGUUUUUGCCCCAACAUCAUGGAA